CUGUCUUCCUCCUUUCAAAGUCCACCUGACGUGGACUGGUGGGACGUCCAUUCCUUCCUGACCGAAAGGCAAUUACUCCAUGUCAUGUUUCUCUACUACAGGAAAAUGGCAGAGGCAGGGAGGAGGAAAGCUGGUCUACUAUGGGGAGAUCUUCCAGAAUCAGCUGUGGUAGAGACGAGUGGAUGGCCGCACACAGAAAUACUAAUAGACGGAGAUAUGGAUGGGCUGCCUCUCCAUCUUUGCUGGAAUCCUCCCUGGGACAGAAGAGACUGACAAACACUCCCCAGCCUCCUCUUUCCUGGAUCAUCUGGACCGGCAGUUACCCAGCCAACAUACAGCCCAGACCAAGUCCCCAGGGCUCCGAUAAAGGGAGCCUAUGAAUGUUAAAUACAUCACAGAUGAAAAAUACAAUUAGGAAAUUAAAAGAAAAAUAUACCCCCUUACUUUUAUUUAAUUUGACAUUAAGAAAAAUGGACAGUUAUUUGCACACAUCCUUGUAUGUGUGCAAGUUUAAGAGAAAACUAUUGCUUCUAAAAAUACGACAAAGUUUCUUUCCCUGUCUUCUCUUUAAGCCUCAGAACCUAUUAUCUUCAAAGAAAGAGGCAAGAGGGGCUGGUGCUGUGGUCUAGUGGGUAGAGCUUCUGCUUGUCAUGCCAGCAUCCCAUAUGGGCACUGGUUCUAGUCCCAGCUGCUCCUCUUCCAAUCCAGCUCUCUGCUCUGGCCUGGGAAAACAGUAGAAGAUGGCCCAAGUCCUUAGGCCUCUGCACCAGUGUGGGAGACCUGGAAGAAGCUCCUGACUCCUGGCUUUGGAUUGGCACAGCUCUGGCCAUUGCAUCCAUUUGGAGAGUGAACCAUCAGAUGAAGACACCUCUUUCUCUCUCUCUCUCCCCCUGCCUCUCUGUAGCUCUACCUUUCAAAUAAAUAAAUAAAACUUUAAAAAGAGACAGGAAAUUUUCUUCAAGAUUUUACUGUUUUUUAAUAAUGCUCUUGACAAAAUAGUGAAGCUGAUAUAUGAAGCAUGUCAAAGUGUUCAUUACCGAUGGUACCUGCUGGGAUUAUUUCUUUGUCUCUUUCUUAAAAACACUAGACAUAAAUGACAGAAUGAGACACCUAUCUCCUUAUGUUAUCAAGCAGAGGAGUGAAGGUAAAAUGUAAAGUAAUGUAAAUAUAUGGUGUUUGAGUAGUUGAACAUUCUUGAUUUCUUUCACAUUAUAAUAUUUGAAAUGAAAGAAAAUGACAAUAGUCAAGGCUAGCAUUAUAUGUCUUAUAACAGUAAUAGACAAUAGCAUGGAAAACCUAAACUUUGUAAUAGCUGUAUAAAUAUUUGUGUAUAUGUGUAUAUAAAUAUGUGUAUGUGUUUAUACAUAUAUAAAAUAUCUGGCAGAUUA